CAUUUUUUGGUAAGAAAUCGUAAAAGUAAAAAAAAAAGUUUUGACCUUAAAAAUAAAUUUUUCUUUUACUUUCCGGAACUUUUGUAAAAAGCCCUAAUAUUAAUAAUAGUAGAAAGAAAAAGUGAAACCAUUUCACUGGGAACUUGAGGACACCGCGAUCAUAAGGCAAAGACUGCCAUGCAUAGCAAUAUUAUAAUAAUCGGCCAUCACAACUACAUAUGGCAAUAUAAUCAUGAUCUGCCAUUAUCUGUUUUAUUGGCGAAGGGCAACUGACAUGCUACAUUUGAUGGAGUCCAUAAUAGGCCAUCACUUCUCUUGAAGAGCACAGAUUAAACAGCUUCUUACGGCCAUUUUUAAUAUGCUCAACUUACCUGAAUCGCAAGCUAAUGACCGCUAAAAGUUUUGCAGCUAACUAUUCCCUGUUGCAGUGAGAAUUUGAACAAUGGAGGAAGUUCCAAAACUGCCCAUGCAGGUUUAUGGUGUAAGAGGCAAAUCACAAGAAGAAAGGUCACCCCACAAAUGACAGAUGCAGCUUUAUUGCUAAAGACACUCCACCCAUCCAAAGGCAUCCACUCAAACUAACCAAAUCACUAACUCUUCCAUGGAAAAGCAUCAUGGGAAGAGAUGCAGCACAGCCGAGAAAAAGAUCCACGCUUUCACUAUGGUGAACUAUUCAUACAAGGGCACAAAUGUCAAACUCCAAGGAUGUUAUUGAUGUGAAAUAAUUUGGGAGAAGUAAAAACAACACUUGUGGUUUGGACCUCUAGGAAAUUCUUUCCUAGACUAUGGUCUAUGAAGGAACACCACACAUGAAUGGUGGAUUCCACACGAUUUGAAUGGUGAGAGCCACUCACAUGCGAGAUGGUCCACCAUGCAUGGAUCAUGGUCUAGAUUCAAUGAAUUCUCAUGAGCUUUAACACUUUAGGAACUAUGGUCUAUUUUGUAUCCAUCUAGUAUUCCAUGUGUUAUUUGAAUGACAAUGACUAGGCUUGACCACGAGGCGCUCCGCCAUUCCAGUUA